GCGAACGGGUGAGUAACACGUGAGGAACCUGCCCCGAAGACCGGGAUAACGCCGGGAAACUGGUGCUAAUACCGGAUGCCCUCGCCGGAUCGCAUGGUCUGGCGAAGAAAUGGAUUCCGCUUCGGGAUGGCCUCGCGGCCUAUCAGCUAGUUGGUGGGGUAACGGCCCACCAAGGCGACGACGGGUAGCUGGUCUGAGAGGAUGUCCAGCCACACUGGGACUGAGACACGGCCCAGACUCCUACGGGAGGCAGCAGCUAGGAAUCUUGCGCAAUGGACGAAAGUCUGACGCAGCGACGCCGCGUGCGGGAUGAAGGCCUUAGGGUCGUAAACCGCUUUCAGCAGGGACGAAAUUGACGGUACCUGCAGAAGAAGCCCCGGCCAACUACGUGCCAGCAGCCGCGGUAAUACGUAGGGGGCGAGCGUUGUCCGGAUUUAUUGGGCGUAAAGAGCUCGUAGGCGGUUUGGUAAGUUGGAUGUGAAAUCUCCAGGCUCAACUUGGAGGGGUCAUUCGAUACUGCCAUGACUAGAGUUCGGUAGGGGAGUGUGGAAUUCCUGGUGGAGCGGUGAAAUGCGCAGAUAUCAGGAGGAACACCCGUAGCGAAGGCGGCACUCUGGGCCGGA
rnacentral:rRNA from 1 species